UUAAAGAUUGAGAUAAGGAAGAGUAUAUUUAGUAAGCUUUUCAGAGAACUAGAUAUUUGGUGGGAAUCUAGUAAGUAAACUUUAUAGAAGCAGCCUUUGAAUUUCACAUUGAAAAAUAAGAAUUGAUAUUCUUAAUUAGAUGAUGACGUGUUCCUUACGUUAUAGAGGUUGAAGUGUUGGUUAAUACUUCUAUAGAGUGAGCAUUUUUGCUUAUUAGGGUGGUACCGCGUAGUUAAUCCUUCGUCCCUUGU
rnacentral:ncRNA from 1 species